GGGCUCACACAAGCGGUGGAGCAUGUGGAUUAAUUCGAAGCAACGCGCAGAACCUUACCUGGGUUUGACAUGCACGGAUGCCCUCUUGGAAACAGGAGUAAGCUGCCUUCGGGUGAAACGUGCACAGGUGCUGCAUGGCUGUCGUCAGCUCGUGCUGUGAAGUGUCGGGUUAAGUCCCUUAACGAGCGAAACCCCUGUCGUUAGUUGCCAGCGGGUCAUGCCGGGAACUCUAACGAGACCGCCGGCGUCAAGCCGGAGGAAGGCGGGGACGACGUCAAGUCAUCAUGGCCUUUAUGCCCAGGGUGUCACACGUGCUACAAUGGGUGGAACAGAGCGACGCGAGACCGUAAGGUGGAGCAAAUCGCACAAAUCCAUCCUCAGUUCAGAUUGGAGUCUGCAACCCGACUCCAUGAAGUUGGAAUCGCUAGUAAUCGCGAAUCAGCCACGUCGCGGUGAAUGUGUUCCUGAGCCUU
rnacentral:rRNA from 1 species